UGUCUUCCUUGCAGAAAAGGGGGUUUCCCGAGGUUGGUGAUCAGCUGGAGGUUCAGUAGUCGUUGAAGUGAUGUCUUCGGAAGCCCGUGGUUGGGCGUUGGCUGAAGUUGUGGAGUUGUGGGCUGGUUCAAGUUUUAGAUGGGCACUUGAGGUCGGAGUCGGAGAAACGAUGAUCCAAUGGUAACUGCACGGAUCUCAGGCUGCCUGGUGGACAUCUCGGCAUGGAUGAAAGAACACCACCUGCAGCUCAACCUGGCAAAGACUGAGCUUCUUGCCUUCCCUGCCACUCCAAUUCUACAGUAUGAUUGCUCCAUCCAGCUAGGUUCUUCUGCAAUUACCCCAUCAACUUCGGUCAGAAAUCUUGGUGUAACCUUUGAUGACCAGCUGACCUUCAAAGACCACAUUGCAAAGACUGCUCGAUCUUGCAGGUUUGCAUUCCACAACAUCAGAAAGAUCAGGCCCUUCCUAACAGAGCAUGGUGCACAACUUCUUGUCCAGGCCCUUGUCAUUUCUAGGCAUUCUACUACUGCAAUGCUCUUCUGGCUGGACUUCUAUCAAGCACAAUCAAAUCUCUACAAAUGAUUCAGAAUGCAGCAGCACGACUAGUCUUCAACAAACCCAAAAGAGCCCAUGUCACACGUCCCUGCACUGGCUACCGGUUGAGGUUCGCAUCAAGUUCAAGACAUUGAUGCUUGCAUAUUGAACAGCCACAGGCUCAGCACCUGCCUACUUCCACUCACUACUACGAAUCUACAUCCCCUCCAGAAGUCUGAGAUCCGCUAGUGAGCGACGCCUCGUGGUACCAUCACAGAGAGGCUCAAAAUCACUUUCCAGAACAUUCUCGUUCACCAUUCCUGUCUGGUGAAAAGAUCUUCCCACCCCUAUUCGGAUUGCCGAUUCCCUGACAUUUUUUUCAAGGGACAGCUGAAAACUCACCUCUUUUGUCACUAUCUGACUUCAUCCUUAAAUAAUAGUAAUAAUAAUUAUUAUCUUUUCUUCCAUCUUUCUAUGUCUAACUUGUACUUAUUUGAACAUUUAGAACAACUUGGUAUGACAAGCACUUUCUGUGUCUAUUUGCCUCUUUAAGAUGAAUGGCUUGAUGUAUU
ensembl:lncRNA